rnacentral:misc_RNA from 1 species
GAUGAAGAACGUAGCGAAAUGCGAUAAGUAGUGUGAAUUGCAGAAUUCAGUGAAUCAUCGAAUCUUUGAACGCACAUUGCGCCCGCCAGUAUUCUGGCGGGCAUGCCUGUCUGAGCGUCGUUUCGACCCUCGCGCCCGGCUUCUGUCGGGGGCGGUGUUGGGGAUCGGCCACACCCUUCAGUGGGAGGCCGGCCCCUAAAUUCAGUGGCGACCACGCUGUAGCCUCCCCUGCGUAGUACUAAAACCACCUCGCAGGCGGAGAGCGGUGCGGCCCGCCGUAAAACCCCCCAACUUUUACAAGGUCGACCUCAGAUCAGGUAGGAAUACCCGCUGAACUUAAGCAUAUCAAUAAGCGGAGG